rnacentral:lncRNA from 1 species
AAGAAGGCUCUUGCAAAGUCUGACAUCCUCGUAUUGGACUUCCUAGCCUCCAGAACUGUGAAAAAUAAGAUUCUUUAAUAAUUACCAGUCUGUGGUAUUCUGUUACAGCAACAUGAAAUAAUCAUAAGACAUUUUCUAAUGAUGUCCUAGCCUCCCAUCGAAGGAUGCAUUUAUACAUUUGUUUUUUUCCUGUAUUUCUUCUCAGUUUUUUUUCCCCAUUCAUUUAGUCUGUCUUGUAUGUGUAUAUGGUGCUGGAAAUUGAACCCGGGGUCUUGGAUAUGCUAGGAAAGCACUCUACCACUGAGUUAAUCCCCAGCCCCUGUUUAGUUUUUCUUACUAGAGAUUUUCCUCAAGUUUCUGGUUCUGAGGUUAAUAGGGAUAACAAACUGAUUUUCUUCUUUACACUACAGCAACGAUCACUUCUGACACUAGAUCUGUGGUGAUGGUUUCACCACAAACCAAGCAGUCAGUUCUGUAGAGUUCUGUAAAUUGAAUUCAGUUCUGACAUUCAAUUUAAUUCUAAUAUUAACUACCUGGAGAUAGCAUUAGAUCCCACAGGUUAAAGGUUCAGUUUCUCAGGCCCUGGGUUUUUUACCUGUGCUUCUGACCCCUGUGAAAUGGAGUUUCCACAGCCCCGCUCCUUGGAUUUAGCUGGAUUGCUAGAGUGGCUCAUAGAACUCAGGGAAACACUUCCCUUUGAUUAUAAAGGAAAUGACAGGAUGCAGAAGAAGAGAUGCAUAGGGCAAGGAAUGUUGAAAGGAGUGAGGAGCAUCUAUACCUUCUGGGUGCAUACCCUCCAGACCCUCCACAUGUUUAGCUAUCUGUAAGCUCCUUAAACUCAGCCCUUUGGGGUUUUUAUAGAAGUUUUGUUAUGUAGGCACAGCUGGCUAAGCCAUUGGCCUUUAAUGAUCAACUUAACUUCAGCCCUUGCCCCCUCCUGGGAGGUUGGUGGAAUGAGGCUGAAAAGGCCCAAACUCACCAUACCCUAUUCUUUCCUGUGAUCAGUCCCAUACUGAAUCUACUUAAGGGCUAAGUACUAGUCAGUUUAUUAGCAUAUAGAGAGGUAUAACUCCAGACAUUCCAAGGAGUUUAGAAGUUAUAUGCAAGGAGACAAGGAUGAGGACCAGUGUGGUAUGUAUUUUGCAGUACUACACUGGUGUUCCUUGAUGUUCUUUUGAUGUUUGGAAUAGAGUGCUAAAAUGCUAAUUGGAAAUGCUGU